rnacentral:rRNA from 1 species
UACGAAGGGGGCUAGCGUUGUUCGGAAUCACUGGGCGUAAAGGGCGCGUAGGCGGCCGAUCAAGUCGGGGGUGAAAUCCUGGAGCUCAACUCCAGAACUGCCUUUGAUACUGAAGAUCUUGAGUUCGGGAGAGGUGAGUGGAACUGCGAGUGUAGAGGUGAAAUUCGUAGAUAUUCGCAAGAACACCAGUGGCGAAGGCGGCUCACUGGCCCGAUACUGACGCUGAGGCACGAAAGCGUGGGGAGCAAACAGGG